rnacentral:rRNA from 1 species
CAGUCGUACUUAUGGGUAAUCAGCCUUUUGGGUGUGAUUUUGUGGUUUAUGAGGAGUUUAACCGCCUUCAUGUAUUGCAUAUUUGUGCUCUUGGGUGUACUUGUCUGUGUGGUAGGUUAACAUCAAUUUCGGUCGUCAUAAAAUGAUUGGAGGAAUGUAGCUUUGGUCUCGUAUCGAAGUGUUAUAGACUCUGGUAGAUGUGACGAUUGGGGAUUGAGGAUUGCAACGGAUACCCGUUCGGGGGCUACCCCGUCUGAUCUCUGAGGUUGCUCCGGUGCCGAAGCGUGCUUACGGUCAUACGAAAGUGUAUUUUACGAAAAGGUUA